GCCUCGGUGGUGUAGUGGUAGCAUGCGCUCCACUAUGGGUGAAACGCGAGUUCAACUCCCGCUUGAGUUCACA